CUCUUAUCAAGAGUGGUGGAGGGACUGGCCCGAUGAAACCCGGCAACCGUUAGAAGCUCUGCUUCUAAAAUGGUGCCAAUUCCUGCAAAACGUUAAGCGUUUUGAGAGAUAAGAG
rnacentral:ncRNA from 2 species